AUUGAACGCUGGCGGCAGGCCUAACACAUGCAAGUCGAACGAGUGGCGGACGGGUGAGUAAUGUCUGGGUAACUGCCCGAUGGAGGGGGAUAACUACUGGAAACGGUAGCUAAUACCGCAUACCAUCGGAUGUGCCCAGAUGGGAUUAGCUAGUAGGUGGGGUAAUGGCUCACCUAGGCGACGAUACCUAGCUGGUCUGAGAGGAUGACCAGCCACGCUGGAACGGAGACCAGGUCCAGACUCCGACGGGAGGCAGCAGUGGGGAAUAUUGAACAAUGGGCGCAAGCCUGAUGCAGACGUGCCGCGUGUAUGAAGAAGGCCUUCGGGUUGUAAAGUACUUUCAGCGGGGAGGCGUUACUCGCAGAAGAAGCACCGGCUAAAUCCGUGCCAGGAGCCGCGGUAAUAC
rnacentral:rRNA from 1 species